rnacentral:lncRNA from 1 species
UAACAAAAGGAAAUAACUGCAAUAUUAAGUGUAGGCCACUUCUGCUCUUAUGUUCCACUGAACAGUUCUGGUUGCCUAAAAUUACUUCAGUUCCAGACCUGGUACUUUCUUCUUUCUCUACGAAGACAUCCUAUGGCAUAAACAAAGGGAUCAUUGCUGGGACAGGAGAAAGAAAAAAGGCUAACUCAAGGACAAAACAGAAAGCUUUCAGGAAAGAAGGAAGAAAUGUCUUGAGGUAUGUGCAAGAAGCUAUGUUCUCCCAACAUUUGCUUUUAAUUGUACUUUACUAGUUUAUUAGAAAAAAAAAGUUCCUCCUCCUGUCCCAUGCUUCCUUCCACCCAGUAGAGAGGUAUCAUUUGGGUAUGAUGAGGUCAGCUAGACACUAUGAAGCAGUGAACCCUGAAAGAGGUUGAAAAUGGUAGUGGGGGUAGUGGGGGGUGUCUAUUUCAGGCUUAGUUGAUUCCUUUAGAAAGGAAAGAAGUCUACUGUACACUGCAGGAGCGAAGUGAGAGGUUUUAGAGAAGCUACUAUAAUAAGACAUGGGAUGGGGUAGUUUGAUGAAGGACCCUUAGGAUUCCAGAUUUGGAGAAGUUGUACUUGGAGUCUGCACUUUAAAGGGAGAAAGAUGCCUAUGGAGUAAAGAUGUUCUGAUGCUGAGCCCAAACUAGAAGAGAAGAGGGAGAAGUGGAGGUGAGAAGGGGAAGGGAGACGGUCUCAGAUUUGUGACAUGAAGAAGGAGAAAGGAAAGGAGAAGUGUGUGCAGAAGCUCCUUGUAAGCCGAUAUUAUUUCAUUUUUUUUUGUACUUGUGUUUCACUAGAGACACAUGGUGUCUGGUAAGUCGUAGGCGCUUAAUGCAUAUUUGUCAUUUGAUUGUAUGUGUGAGUGAUGCUAUAAGUUGGAGGAUGGGGUGUAGUGGAGCAAUAGAUGUGGUAAGAAUUUUAUAGAGCACUCGAGUGCAUGAUAUAGCUGGUAUAGAUAGAAUGCUGGAUCUGCAGUCAGGAGAAAUGGAUUUGAGCUGUGCCUCAGACACUAUCAUUUAACUCCUCUGAGAUGAAUUUUGUCAUCUGUAAAAUAAGGGGGUUGGACUACAAGCCCUUUGAGGUCCCUUCCAACACUAAAUCUAUGUAUAGGGACAAUUGGCUUCUCUUAAAUUUGCCUCAUUUUCCUACUACAUAAGAACCUUUCUUUUUUCACAAUAACCAUGUAUUUUUAGGAAA